rnacentral:rRNA from 1 species
CUUUACUGCAACUUGACGUUGGAACUUGGCUGUAUUUGUGUAAGAUAGGUGGGAGACUUUGAAGCAGGGCCGCCGGGUCUUGCGGAGUCGUCGUUGAAAUACCACCCUGGUGCUGACGAGUUUCUAACCGUGUCCGUAAGCCGGACAUGAGACAGCGUCUGGUGGGCAGUUUGACUGGGGCGGUCGCCUCCUAAAAGGUAACGGAGGCAUUCAAAGGUCCCCUCAGCGUGGUCGGUAAUCACGCGCAGAGUGCAAACGCAUAAGGGGGCUUAACUGCGAGACCGACAGGUCGAGCAGGUACGAAAGUAGGAGUGAGUGAUCCCGCGGUUUAGCGUGGAAGUGCCGUUGCUCAAUGGAUAAAAGGUA